rnacentral:rRNA from 1 species
GCUACACAUGCAGUCGAGCGGUAACAUUUCUAGCUUGCUAGAAGAUGACGAGCGGCGGACGGGUGAGUAAUGCUUGGGAACAUGCCUUGAGGUGGGGGACAACAGUUGGAAACGACUGCUAAUACCGCAUAAUGUCUACGGACCAAAGGGGGCUUUUAGCUCUCGCCUUUAGAUUGGCCCAAGUGGGAUUAGUUAGUUGGUGAGGUAAUGGCUCACCAAGGCAACGAUCCCUAGCUGGUUUGAGAGGAUGAUCAGCCACACUGGGACUGAGACACGGCCCAGACUCCUACGGGAGGCAGCAGUGGGGAAUAUUGCACAAUGGGCGAAAGCCUGAUGCAGCCAUGCCGCGUGUGUGAAGAAGGCCUUCGGGUUGUAAAGCACUUUCAGUCAGGAGGAAAGGUUAGUAGUUAAUACCUGCUAGCUGUGACGUUACUGACAGAAGAAGCACCGGCUAACUCCGUGCCAGCAGCCGCGGUAAUACGGAGGGUGCGAGCGUUAAUCGGAAUUAC